rfam:Bombyx mori DNA, contig: Bm_scaf20_contig14463, strain: p50T/Dazao, build 2, whole genome shotgun sequence.
AACUUUGCGCAGAGGCAAUAUCGUAACUAAUGGGGUUUAUCAGAGGUGCGAUUAUUGCUAGUUAAAAACUUUACUAAAAGACACACUAUGAAAUUGGUGAAGCAUUAAGUUCUUAAAUGAAAAUUAUCACUCGAAUUAUCAUAA